UAAACAAAUAAUCUAAUCUAAUAAUCUAAUAGAUAUCUAUAUAUUAAUACGUGAAGGAAAAAUUUUGUAUCCCUUUUUACGAAAAUUGCACGGACGGAGGAGUAUGAAAUUUUCCACACUUAUAGAGAUUAUAGAGAAGAAGUGCACAAUGCUCAUUUUUUUUUUAAAUAAUGCAUAAAAUAUACAUUAAAUCAAUAAAGAAAACAUUACACACACUAUAUACCAUGUAUUUGACACACAUAUGCAUGCGUACUAUUUGUUUGUUCUCAAACUUUUCUUUGCAUUCUGUCAUUUAUAAUGUGUCAAAUUGAGAAUAGAUUGAAUACUGUUUUCUCUUUAUUAAUAUUUGUCUAAAGUGUAGUCUUGACGAAAUCUGUGAUUAAAGAAAAUUAGAGCCAAUACAGAUUCCGGAGCCAUCCUGGGUCACCGAACUCAAGGACAAGAUAAAGAAAUUAAUUACAUUGCACGGUUAUGAAAACGCUAAAGAUCAUAUAAAGCAACUCGUAAAAGAUACGGAAAACAAUUCCGACAUGCACGACAAAUAUUUGUAUGUAAAAGAUGCGAUCAUUUUCGAAUAAAUCUAUUAUAUUGAAAUAAUUGAUUUUCAAAAACUAAAAAUCAAAUAUGGAUUAAUAUACAACGGUUUUGAUUUGAAAUAUCGGAGCUAUGACUGACAUGGAAAACUAUUAUUAACUCAAUCAAAAUUUUCCAGUCUCCGAUGAUGGUUCAUCGAAAAUUCAAUUACAUUAUAAGAGUUCUUCAUCACCUGGAACCACUCCACCGUCGCUGUUGUCGAGUAAACCACCAACUUGGUUACCAGAAUUGAACAGUUUCGUCAAAGAACUAAUAAAGAAAUAUAAUGCUGCUGAUAUAGAUGACAUAUUAAAACAUGUUGUUCAUAGAGAGGUAUACAUCUACUAUGAUCAAUGGAAUUCAUCGACAAUAUUACCAAAUGUCUAUGGGCUCCAAUUAACACCAGGUGGGCUGUGAGUUCGUCCACCCAUCUAAACAAUAAAAAAAAGUAAUAUAUCGUUUUCUGAAACUGAAACGUCAUCUGAAAACCGUAGAAGCUAACAGGACAACCCGCGACCAGCUUAUUGGCACCACAACGAAUGUCAGCGCCAAAAAUCCUAAUCCUAUCACAAGGCUUUAACGCAAGAACGAUAUGGCCGACGAUCCUCAGUGGGGAAACAGCAUUCCGAACCGGAGUCAUAAAAAAUUAAUUGAAAAAUUCUGUGAUGGUUUAGUCGAAUAAAAAACUUAUAAAAUAAAAUUCGCUGACAUGUAUCUUACAUAAUUUUAGAAAUCCGCUAUAAAGGCAUCAACAAAAGGACAACGAAAUCAGUGAGAGCAAAUCGCUACAAGAAGAUAGAUAAAAAGAUGACGAAGUUAGCGAAAGGUUCAUCGAAAAUUCAAUUACAUUAUAAGAGUUCUUCAUCACCUGGAACCACUCCACCGUCGCUGUUGUCGAGUAAACCACCAACUUGGUUACCAGAAUUGAACAGUUUCGUCAAAGAACUAAUAAAGAAAUAUAAUGCUGCUGAUAUAGAUGACAUAUUAAAACAUGUUGUUCAUAGAGAGGUAUACAUCUACUAUGAUCAAUGGAAUUCAUCGACAAUAUUACCAAAAAUCCGCUAUAAAGGCAUCAACAAAAGGACAACGAAAUCAGUGAGAGCAAAUCGCUACAAGAAGAUAGAUAAAAAGAUGACGAAGUUAGCGAAAGAUUCGUUGAGCGAGUCGCGCGAGUCUUCACAGAAAACGGAUUCCGACGCAGAGCUUCCCGUAACUUCUAUUUAUUAAUAACUAGCGACCCGCUUCGAAAACUGUAAUUUAUUAUUGAUUUCUCCAUUAUUUAAUGGAUGUUAUCAUACAUAUAAACCUUCCUCUUCAAUCACUCUAUCUAUUAAAAAAAACCGCAUCAAAAUCCGCUGCGUAGUUUUAAAGAUUUAAGCAUACAUAGGGACAGAUAUAGGCACAGAGAAAGCGACUUUGUUUUAUACCAUGUUAAUAAUUAAUAAUAAAUAUUUACCUCAAA